AUUUAUUUAGUUUAAAAAACAUUUUAUUUUCAUUAAAAAAAAGGAAUUUCCAAUAAAUA
rnacentral:tRNA from 1 species